AUGAUAGGAGGAGAGGUGAUUCAAGCAGUGACCUUCGCCAACUCUGUGCUUAGCAAGGUGGCUGAUGUGAUCACGAGAGAUAAGUCCAUGAAAAGCGCAGUCAAAAGAGGCCUCAAUGACAUCAAGCUGGAUAUGAAAAUGGUGAUCAGCGAAAUCAAGUUCAAUGAGGAGAACAACCAAGGGGCGACACAUGAGAGCAAGGUUGUGAUACUGAAGGAGUUGGCUAAUGAUAUCGAGGACUUCAUAGAUCUUACGUGGGUUCCGGGUGCAUCUGGCCUUCUCCUCUCGGCAUUUGGCCUGGACCACCGACCUCAAAUAGUGCAAACAAUCGACCAUUUCAAGGACAGUAUCCAGAAAGUACGCACCUGGCAACCUGAUGCCGGAUCCAGCCAGGGCAAAGACAGUGCUGCAACAUGGUCCUGCCCUUCAGCCACACCUCUUAAUCCUUAUAGCCGAGAUCUAGAUCAUGAGGCUACCUUCAGGAGCAUCUGCAAACACAGAUGUGAGCUGCAAGGGUUGCUGUCAGCAUCCGAAGGGCAAGAGCUGAAGGUGAUCUCCAUCGUCGGUUGCCGUGGCGUGGGGAAGACAAGUCUAGCAACAGCGGUCUAUGACGACUGUCGUGCCGAAUACGAUUGCGUUGCUUGGGUGGUAGCAUCCGAGUGCCGCGAUCUGGAGGACCUUCUAACCAAGCUUCUCAAGGAGGCACAAAGGACGGCUAAGCCUACAUCUACAGCUGCACAAGGGAGCAUCUCCGAUACUGAGCAAACAAGCCUUCGAAAUUUCCUGAGUGACAAAAGGUAU
rnacentral:rRNA from 1 species